AGAGUUUGAUCAUGGCUCAGAACGAACGCUGGCGGCAGGCUUAACACAUGCAAGUCGANCGCCCCGCAAGGGGAGCGGCAGACGGGUGAGUAACGCGUGGGAACAUACCCUUUGGUUCGGAAUAACUCAGGGAAACUUGAGCUAAUACCGGAUACGUCCGUAAGGAGAAAGAUUUAUCGCCAAAGGAUUGGCCCGCGUCCGAUUAGCUAGUUGGUGAGGUAACGGCUCACCAAGGCUACGAUCGGUAGCUGGUCUGAGAGGAUGAUCAGCCACAUUGGGACUGAGACACGGCCCAAACUCCUACGGGAGGCAGCAGUGGGGAAUAUUGGACAAUGGGCGCAAGCCUGAUCCAGCCAUGCCGCGUGAGUGAUGAAGGCCUUAGGGUGGUAAAGCUCUUUUGUCCGGGAAGAUAAUGACUGUACCGGAAGAAUAAGCCCCG
rnacentral:rRNA from 1 species